rnacentral:rRNA from 1 species
AUUGAACGCUGGCGGCAGGCCUAACACAUGCAAGUCGAACGAGUGGCGGACGGGUGAGUAAUGUCUGGGAAACUGCCUGAUGGAGGGGGAUAACUACUGGAAACGGUAGAUAAUACCGCAUACCAUCGGAUGUGCCCAGAUGGGAUUAGCUAGUAGGUGGGGUAAAGGCUCACGUAGGCGACGAUCCCUAGCUGGUCUGCGAGGAUGACCAUCCCCACUGGAAAUUAGACACUGUCCAGCCUCCGACGGUGGGCAGCAGUGGGGAAUAUUGUACAAUGGGCGCAAGCCUGAUGCAGCCAUGCCGCGUGUAUGAAGAAGGCCUGCGGGUUGUAAAGUACUUUCAGCGGGGAGGCGUUACCCGCAGAAGAAGCACCGGCUAACUCCGUGCCAGCAGCCGCGGUAAUAC